UUUUUGGAGAGUUUGAUCCUGGCUCAGAGUUAACGCUGGCGGCGUGCCUAACACAUGCAAGUCGAGCGAAGAGUGGCAGAGUAUCGCGCU
rnacentral:ncRNA from 1 species